AUGACUCAUUUAUCCUUUUUCUCAACUGAGGUCCCUUUCCUUCAUUUUCAUCUGUAAAUACAGAACAAAAAUAUUCAUUGAGGCAGUCAGCUAGACCUUUAUCCUCUUCUACAUACCUUCCUUCUUUUGUUUUUAAUCUAACUAAUCCUUGUUUUACUUUUCUUUUCUCAUUUAUGUAUCUAAAAAAAUUUUUAUCCCCCUUUUUUUACUGACUGUGCUAUUUUCUC
rnacentral:lncRNA from 1 species